rnacentral:rRNA from 1 species
UGGCUCAGGAUGAACGCUAGCUACAGGCUUAACACAUGCAAGUCGAGGGGCAUCGGGAUCUGUGCUUGCACAGAUGCCGGCGACCGGCGCACGGGUGAGUAACGCGUAUCCAACUUCCCUUAGUAGGGCAUAGCCCGUAGAAAUGCGGAUUAAUACCCUAUGUUAUUCGUCGAGGACAUCUGAAGUGAAUCAAAGGUUUACCGCUAAGGGAUGGGGAUGCGUCUGAUUAGGCAGCAGGCGGGGUAACGGCCCACCUGGCCUACGAUCAGUAGGGUUCUGAGAGGAAGGUCCCCCACAUUGGAACUGAGACACGGUCCAAACUCCUACGGGAGGCAGCAGUGAGGAAUAUUGGUCAAUGGGCGAGAGCCUGAACCAGCCAAGUAGCGUGCAGGACGACGGCCCUAUGGGCUGUAAACUGCUUUUAUGCGGGGAUAAAGUUCACUACGUGUAGUGUUUUGUAGGUACCGCAUGAAUAAGGACCGGCUAAUUCCGUGCCAGCCGCGGC